ensembl:lncRNA
UAUAGAGAAAGCUGAGCACCGAAGAAUUGAUGCUUUUGAACUGUGGUGUUGGAGAAGACUCUUGAGAGUUCCUUGGACUACAAGGAGAUCCAACCAGUCCAUCCUAAAGAAAAUCACUCCUAAAUGUUCAUUGGAAGGACUGAUGUUGAAGCUGAAACUCCAAUACUUUGGCCAUCUGAUGCGAAGAGCUGACUCAUUUGAAAAGACCCUGAUGCUGGGAAAGAUUGAAGAUCACUUCGGGCACGGAGGAAGAGCAUGGGCAGCUGGCCCAGGACCCACCAUAUCACCUGAGCCAAGCAGGAGAGGCCCCUGCUCACCCUUGCAAAUGCGCUUGCCUUUGUCAGAUUGUGAGUUUGGAAGGAGAAGAAGCUGGGCAGAAAUCACCGAAACCCUCUUGGGUCCGCUCUCCCGUGUUGUAAAUCUCACGGAACAGGCCAUCUGGUCCAGGUCUGCCACAGUGGGCACAACCAGGCUCUCUAAAGCAGGAGGAAGCCAAGAAGGAGAUGCCUUCGGUCCUCUGCCCAUCACCUGCCAGAGAACCAGGAUGCUCGGUGGCAGUUGGCUUACCUUUUCCCAAACAGCCAUCUGUUGUC